rnacentral:lncRNA from 1 species
UUUCACUUGUCCUCCUCAGUCACCAGGCAUUGGAGGUAGGUGUCUAUGCUCACUGGAGCAGAUAGAACCUAAGCAUCCUCUGGGACAUAAAAAUAAUUGUUCUCUUGCUACCAGGGUCCACCCUCGGAGCAGGAAACUGCUUUACCAGUUUUGGGCUUUAACUCAACCCUCCAGCUUCUAAAGGUCAAUCUUUCUUCAGGAUCUCCAAGUCACCAACCCAAAAAUAUCUUCCAAAGUGGACAUGCCCACGCUAUCAAAGAAGGAGUGGAGAGGGUCAUCCGCGCCGCAAACACCUUCACUUUACUUUUCCUUUCAUGCUUGGGCCUCUUCAAGUAUAGACUCGGUGCAGGAGGGCAUCUCACUGAUGUCUAUUACACUAGUCGCCUCCUUCAGAACAGAAGCAACUUGUCAAUAUGUCUAAGACUCCAUCUCUAUCUCGGCCUCCCGAGUUGAAAAGAGAUUGGCC